rnacentral:rRNA from 1 species
AGAUUGAACGCCGGCGGCAUGCCUAACACAUGCAAGUCGAACGGGAGUAGCAAUACUCUAGUGGCGGACGGGUGAGGAAUACGUAGGAAUUUGCCCUUAAGUGGGGGAUAACCCGGGGAAACCCGGAUUAAUACCGCAUGACCUCGAAAGAGCAAAGUGGGGGAUCGCAAGACCUCACGCUUUUGGAGAAGCCUACGUCGGAUUAGCUAGUUGGUGAGGUAAUGGCUCACCAAGGCGACGAUCCGUAACUGGUCUGAGAGGAUGAUCAGUCACACCGGAACUGAGACACGGUCCGGACUCCUACGGGAGGCAGCAGUGGGGAAUAUUGGACAAUGGGCGCAAGCCUGAUCCAGCAAUGCCGCGUGUGUGAAGAAGGCCUUGGUGUAAGCACUUUAAGUUAGGAAGAAAAACUACGACUCUAACUACAAGUGAGUCUUGAACGGUACCGAC